rnacentral:rRNA from 1 species
UAAUACGGAGGGUGCAAGCGUUAUUCGGAAUUAUUGGGCGUAAAGGGCGCGUAGGCGGCCCUUUAAGUCAGAUGUGAAAGCCCGGGGCUUAACCCCGGAAGUGCAUUUGAAACUAAAGGGCUUGAGUAUGGGAGAGGGAAGUGGAAUUCCUGGUGUAGCGGUGAAAUGCGUAGAUAUCAGGAGGAACACCGGUGGCGAAGGCGACUUCCUGGACCAAUACUGACGCUAAGGCGCGAAGGCGUGGGUAGCAAACAGGAUUAGAUACCCUGGUAGUCCACGCAGUAAACGGUGAACACUAGGUGUAGCGGGUAUUGACCCCUGCUGUGCCGCAGCUAACGCAUUAAGUGUUCCGCCAAGCCGAAUUCUGCAGAUAUCCA